CUUUGGCCGGUCUGGUAGACGACGCAUCGAUGGCGUUGAUUGUAACGUCGGGCAUCACGGUCUUGCUGGCUAGUUAUGCGAACGCCGGCGAGCUGUCUUGCUUCUUCGGCGCGCUCUGUAAAAUAUGCGGCGUCAGUCUCGGAAUCGC
rnacentral:lncRNA from 1 species